CCAAAAAGCUAAAAGGAAGGGUUUUUAUUUGGGGUUUUAGGUGGAGGGGGAAGCAUAUGGCCUUGCUGGUUGGAGCUUUCCCACCAGCCUGUCUUUGGCCUUGAGACACUUGCAGAGAGGAGGGAACCCAUGACCUUGCUGGUCAGCAGCUUUCCCACCAGUCUGUAUCUCUUUGUGGGAGGAGAUAAUCCAGGUGCUUGUCCUUGACGGUGUCUGUCUCCAUGGAGGAUAGUGGAUUCUGGAGCCAGGAAGCCAGAGAAAAUAAAGUUCCUUAACUCCAAAGAGCAUGAAGUAACUUGAGGAGGGCUGCCCAGCAUCGUCCUUGGAGAGACAGCUUCCCACAUGGCCCUGAAAAAUGACACUGUUGUUCAUAUCUGCUGGAACGGAACCUUCGCCUCAGUGUUAACCACAGAAGCGGUCUGAACUCAGCUCUGAGGCUGCAUUAAUCUUUGAGUGGAGGAGGGAAAAAAAUCCAUCAGCAGACCUGAAAACUCUGCAAAAUCUUUGGGGACCCUGAUUGUUUCUGGACAGUAAAAUUAAGACCCAGAAGAGAAAUAGGGGCAACAGAAGAUAAAGCAAUGCUGGGGCCAUCUCCCUACUCCCAGCCUUUCCUUAAAAAUGUGUAUGUGUGUGGGAGCUGGUAAAUGAUUUACUAAAGCCAAACCAAGGCUUUUUGAUUUUGUGUAUACCCAUUCUCUUUUUCGCCUCUGCACUGUGCUUAUUUUGACCCUUCUAUCAGGAAUAGCUUCCUCAACUCCCACACCCCUGCUGCUCCCCUCCCCUUCCCCACCUUUGCUUGGCCCACUCCUACCGAACUUGUCUAUUCGUCCAGAAGAGUCCACCCCAGCUGAGACUGUGCUUCUCUCCAUUCUAGUGGCCAUCUUGUCUCUGCACCAUUGCAAUAUAGUGUGUAUUUGCCUCCCACACUGAAAUGGGAAUUAAUUUUGGUCAAAGUCUGGGCUUCUGUUUGUUCUUUGAGCAUAAAGCAUAGAGCUUGGCAUGGAAUAGGUAUUCAAUAAAU
rnacentral:lncRNA from 1 species